rnacentral:lncRNA from 1 species
GAAGAGAGAGAAAGAGAGGAAGAACAAAGGGAAAAACAAGAAAAUCUAGGUGGAAAAUUCAAAGAAAAAGUGAAGAAAUCAAGGAAACAAGCUGGGUAAGUUAGAAUUUCUUUAGUUCUCCUUGAUACCUAGCUUACCCAUGCUUUUGUUCUUGAUUUUCAUGGUUGAAUAUUGAGUUAUUAUGAUGAAUUCAAUUCUGAAAAAUGGGUUAGAAGAGAGAAAGUUGUUAGAUUAAUUUGAUUUUAAGUUAUGUUAGUGUUUUAAGUUAGUUUAGCAUAUUUAGAAACAAAACAACAAGAAAAGAAUUUAUUUUCUCUCACAACCAUUAAUGGCCGAAUUUAUCAUGUGUUGAGUGAGGAUGAAUUUGAUUUUCAUUUUAGGAGAAUUGGUUAAGAAAUGAUGAAUUAUGAGCCUAGAAAAAUAAUGGGAAUUUUCAGAGCAAAAAUAUGAAUUUUUACCCACUAAGGGUAUUUUCGUAAUUUGCUACCGAGACUAAUAAAUUGAAUCUCAUUCACAGUUAUUAAGGUAAUUUAGGUAUAAUUGGAGUGUAGAAAGUGAGAAGAAUUGAUUUAGAGUUAAAUUGGAGAUAAUAGGCCGAAUUAGGUCAACACCGCAUUUAAGCAGUAGUCGGAUAAGUUGCAUAUCAUAUCAUGCAUAUAUACCGAGCCUGAAUUGAUUUUAUAAUGGUCAAGCAUUGAUGUGGUGAAUUAUGUAUUGUACAUUGUGGAUAGGUGGUGAGCAAAGUACACUGGCAAAAAAACAGAAAUUGUGCUUGAAGACUGGGAUUAGGAGUACAUCGACUCCUAGAACUGUGAGUGAACUUAUUACCAUCUUAAUUAUCUAGAGUAGUUUUAUACAAUUGAGUGAUUUUAUGAAAAAUGGGUUUAAAUGGUAAAUUGCUAUGUUUUAAGAGAAAUUGUGAUUUUAUAAAAUGAUUUUAUAAAUUUUCUGAAAAAUCGAAUACUGGUUUUGAAAAUAGAGUAAUUGGAGACUGCCUGCUUGUGUUGUAAAUUUAUGGUUUUAAAUUGAAUGGCUUAUGACAAUAUAUGAGCAUGAAUGGCUAAACUGAUUUUGGUGUUAGAAUUAUUUGUACUGUGUAUUUAGCCUUGAAAGGCUAGGUUGCGAUAAAUUGCCAUGUCAUGCAGAAAAAGAUUUUAUAAAUCAGGUGGUAGAUAAAAGAUUAGCUACUGCAGUGGUGGGGGGUUCCGUGGGCCAGCCUAUUAGAGGGGCACUGUAAACUCCUUUAUAUUCUCACCUCGGUCGUAGAGGCGCGUAGGGUAUCUCCUGAGGUGGGCUUUUUGAGUGCACUUCACGUGGACCACCGCGUGAGAGUGAGACUCAGCCAACGCCAAGGAACGGCUAUGUUUCAAAAUAAAAAUAUGAUUUAUGCGAAAUAUGAAUUUUAACAGCCUUGGCGGACUCGGUUGGAUACCCCUAAUCCAGGUGUCCCCGAGUAUAGGAUUUGGCAUGAGCCAAGUUUUGAGAAAUUCACGAGCCAUAUUGAUUAUUUUGUUGAAAUGAAUAUUCGUGUUGUGAAAAUUUUACUAAAAUGAAUUGUUUUUAAUUGUCUCCCUUUACUCGACUUUGGAUAGUUUAGAUGGUAUCUGUUUACUCACUAAGAUUUUAUAAUCUCACCACCCUCAUUUCCUCACAUUUCAGGCUUGGGGAAUUCCAUAGUUAGCUGACUUUGACAAGGACCUUCAUUUGGACU